CACGAACUCAGUCCCUCAAGGCAGCCGAUCCAGUACAUGGAGGUCACCUCAGUGUGUCUGUCAUUGUGAUGCAGCCUGAGAGACUAAGAAGAGUAAGUCAUGGGAACAGGAGGAAUGUCCUGCUAGCAAGGAGUUUAUCUUCCAGAGCAAAGUGAUGAGACUGAAAUGCCAAGGAAAAAAAUGGGGGAAACUCUCUCAGUGUUGAGAGGAAGACGAAAUUCCUCUUGAUGUGGUCUUCACAGCAAUGGAUGAGCAAAGACUCUGCAGAAGAGAUGACAUCUGGGAUCAAACUCAAGGAGGGAACUGACUUGGCCAAAGAAUAUGGACCUCUUUCUGGGGAACAGCAUCUCCUUUGGUACAAAGCCAACUGUGUCGGGCAGAGCUCUAAGCCUCAUUCUGAUGUUAUUAGCUUGGUGUUCUAAGCCAGUAACUAGCAUGUCACCUGGCAACUGAGCAGAAGAGAGGAGGCUUACGAGGUCCUGAGGGAAGCUGUUCAUGUGCAAGCUCUCUGCUGGUGACAGCAAAAUGUAAGUGAUGGGAUCCCAGUGUCUGUCUUGUUUGCAGAGGUUAUUGAGGGACUAUGAACAAAAAUUGGGAGAAAAAGCAAACCGGUGCUGACAUCUCAAUUUGGUUUUGUAGCUACAGUGGGCUACAUGGGAUAGAGGGCUCGUAGUCACUGUACCCUUAGUGUGAAGAUGCUGUGGCCCUCCUCAGUGGCACUACACGUGAGCACAGCCUUUGUGGCAGAUGCUUAAUUAUGUGCAUCACAGAUGUCAGCUGAGGCCUGGAGGAGUCCACUAAACUUGACCCACACUCAAUACCAAUACUCAUGAGAGCCUUGAAUCCACAUCACAAUUGCUGCAGAUACCCACAGUCUACAACACCAUGCUUCAUCCUCUGCCCUGCAUCCGUUAGAGGAACAGGCUCCACUUCUUUCUCUGCCCUUCGCAGAAAUCUACUUAUGCCCAGGUCUUUGUGAGUUGGACAACUUUGCUGAAAAUUGGGGUCCCCAGGGGGAG
rnacentral:lncRNA from 1 species